rnacentral:rRNA from 1 species
AGAUGUGUAUAAGUGACACUGCGCCGAAAAUGUACCGGGGCUAAACAUAUUACCGAAGCUGUGGAUUGUCCAUUGGACAAUGGUAGGAGAGCGUUCUAAGGGCGUUGAAGCAUGAUCGCAAGGACAUGUGGAGCGCUUAGAAGUGAGAAUGCCGGUGUGAGUAGCGAAAGACGGGUGAGAAUCCCGUCCACCGAUUGACUAAGGUUUCCAGAGGAAGGCUCGUCCGCUCUGGGUUAGUCGGGUCCUAAGCUGAGGCCGACAGGCGUAGGCGAUGGAUAACAGGUUGAUAUUCCUGUACCACCAUUAUUCGUUUUAAGCGAUGGGGGGACGCAGUAGGAUAGGCGAAGCGUGCUGUUGGAGUGCACGUCCAAGCAGUGAGAUUGAGUGUUAGGCAAAUCCGGCACUCUUAAGAUUGAGCUGUGAUGGGGAGAGGAACUUGUUCCUCGAGUCGUUGAUUUCACACUGCCGAGAAAAGCCUCUAGCUAGAAUAACGGUGCCCGUACCGCAAACCGACACAGGUAGUCAAGAUGAGAAUUCUAAGGUGAGCGAGCGAACUCUCGUUAAGGAACUCGGCAAAAUGACCCCGUAACUUCGGGAGAAGGGGUGCUCUUUGAGGUUCACGCUUCGAAGAGCCGCAGUGAAUAGGCCCAAGCGACUGUUUAUCAAAAACACAGGUCUCUGCUAAACCGUAAGGUGACGUAUAGGGGCUGACGCCUGCCCGGUGCUGGAAGGUUAAGAGGAGUGGUUAGCGCAAGCGAAGCUACGAAUCGAAGCCCCAGUAAACGGCGGCCGUAACUAUAACGGUCCUAAGGUAGCGAAAUUCCUUGUCGGGUAAGUUCCGACCCGCACGAAAGGCGUAACGAUUUGGGCACUGUCUCAACGAGAGACUCGGUGAAAUCAUAGUACCGGUGAAGAUGCCGGUUACCCGCGACAGGACGGAAAGACCCCGUGGAGCUUUACUGUAGCCUGAUAUUGAAAUUCGGUACAGUUUGUACAGGAUAGGUAGGAGCCUUAGAAGCGUGAGCGCUAGCUUACGUGGAGGCAUUGGUGGGAUACUACCCUAAUUGUAUUGGAUUUCUAACCCGCAGCACUUAUCGUGCUGGGAGACAGUGUCAGGCGGGCAGUUUGACUGGGGCGGUCGCCUCCUAAAGAGUAACGGAGGCGCUCAAAGGUUCCCUCAGAAUGGUUGGAAAUCAUUCAUAGAGUGUAAAGGCAUAAGGGAGCUUGACUGCGAGACCUACAAGUCGAGCAGGGUCGAAAGACGGACUUAGUGAUCCGGUGGUUCCGCAUGGAAGGGCCAUCGCUCAACGGAUAAAAGCUACCCCGGGGAUAACAGGCUUAUCUCCCCCAAGAGUUCACAUCGACGGGGAGGUUUGGCACCUCGAUGUCGGCUCAUCGCAUCCUGGGGCUGUAGUCGGUCCCAAGGGUUGGGCUGUUCGCCCAUUAAAGCGGUACGCGAGCUGGGUUCAGAACGUCGUGAGACAGUUCGGUCCCUAUCCGUCGUGGGCGUAGGAAAUUUGAGAGGAGCUGUCCUUAGUACGAGAGGACCGGGAUGGACAUACCUCUGGUGUACCAGUUGUCGUGCCAACGGCAUAGCUGGGUAGCUAUGUAUGGACGGGAUAAGUGCUGAAAGCAUCUAAGCAUGAAGCCCCCCUCGAGAUGAGAUUUCCCAACUUCGGUUAUAAGAUCCCUCAAAGAUGAUGAGGUGAAUAGGUUCGAGGUGGAAGCGUAGUGAUACGUGGAGCUGACGAAUACUAAUCGAUCGAAGACUUAAUCAA